AUUGAACGCUGGCGGCAGGCCUAACACAUGCAAGUCGAACGAGUGGCGUACGUGUGAGCUAGGACUGGGCCACUGCGUGAGGGAUGGGGACAACUACCGGAAACGGAAGCUAAUACCGCAUAUCAUCGGAUGUGUCCACGUGGGAUUAGCUUGUUGGUGGGGUAACGGCAUACCAAGGCGACGAUCCCUAGCUGGUCUGAGAGGAUGACCAGCCACACUGUAACUGAGACACGGUCCAGACUCCUACGGGAGGCAGCAGUGGGGAAUAUUGCACAAUGGGCGAAAGCCUGAUGCAGCCAUGCCGCGUGUGUGAAGAAGGCCUUCGGGUUGUAAAGUACUUUCAGCGGGGAGGCGUUACCCACAGAAGAAGCACCGGCUAACUCCGUGCCAGCAGCCGCGGUAAUAC
rnacentral:rRNA from 1 species